UGGAUCCAGACUUUGAUCAUGGCUCAGGAUGAACGCUAGCUACAGGCUUAACACAUGCAAGUCGAGGGGAAACGAUAUUGGAAGCUUGCUUCCGAUAGGCGUCGACCGGCGCACGGGUGAGUAACGCGUAUCCAACCUGCCCACCACUUGGGGAUAACCUUGCGAAAGUAAGACUAAUACCCAAUGACGUCUCUAGAAGACAUCUGAAAGAGAUUAAAGAUUUAUCGGUGAUGGAUGGGGAUGCGUCUGAUUAGCUUGUUGGCGGGGUAACGGCCCACCGAGGCGACGAUCAGUAGGGGUUCUGAGAGGAAGGUCCCCCACAUUGGAACUGAGACACGGUCCAAACUCCUACGGGAGGCAGCAGUGAGGAAUAUUGGUCAAUGGACGAGAGUCUGAACCAGCCAAGUAGCGUGCAGGAAGACGGCCCUAUGGGUUGUAAACUGCUUUUAUAAGGGAAUAAAGUUAGUCUCGUGAGACUUUUUGCAUGUACCUUAUGAAUAAGGACCGGCUAAUUCCGUGCCAGCAGCCGCGGUAAUACGGAAGGUCCGGGCGUUAUCCGGAUUUAUUGGGUUUAAAGGGAGCGUAGGCCGGAGAUUAAGCGUGUUGUGAAAUGUAGAUGCUCAACAUCUGAACUGCAGCGCGAACUGGUUUCCUUGAGUACGCACAAAGUGGGCGGAAUUCGUGGUGUAGCGGUGAAAUGCUUAGAUAUCACGAAGAACUCCGACUGCGAAGGCAGCUCACUGGAGCGCAACUGACGCUGAAGCUCGAAAGUGCGGGUAUCGAACAGGAUUAGAUACCCUGGUAGUCCGCACGGUAAACGAUGGAUGCCCGCUGUUGGUCUGAAUAGGUCAGCGGCCAAGCGAAAGCAUUAAGCAUCCCACCUGGGGAGUACGCCGGCAACGGUGCAACUCAAAGGAAUUGACGGA
rnacentral:rRNA from 1 species